rnacentral:rRNA from 1 species
UACAGAGGUCUCAAGCGUUGUUCGGAUUCAUUGGGCGUAAAGGGUGCGUAGGCGGCGCGGUAAGUCGGGUGUGAAAUUUCGAGGCUUAACUUCGAAACUGCAUUCGAUACUGCCGUGCUUGAGGACUGGAGAGGAGACUGGAAUUUACGGUGUAGCGGUGAAAUGCGUAGAUAUCAGGAGGAACACCUGCGGUGUAGACGGCUUUCUGGACCAUUGCUGACGCUGAGACGCGAAAGCGUGGGGAGCGAACAGG